AACAUGUCCUUUUGUAUAUUUAUAUAAGGUAUAACCUGCCCAAUGAUAUUUUUAAUGGCCGCGGUAUUUUAACCGUGCUAAGGUAGCAUAAUCAUUUGUCUUUUAAUUGAUGGCUGGAAUGAAGGGUUGGAUGAGAUAUUAACUUUCUUUAAUUUAAUUAUAGAAUUUAACUUUUGAGUGAAAAGGCUCAAAUUUUUUUGUAGGACGAGAAGACCCUAUAAAUCUUCACAUUUGAAUUAUUUAUGAUGUUUUGAGAUUGAUUUGUUAUAAAUUGUUGUAGUGUUUGAUUGGGGUGAUUAUAGAAUUAUAAUAACUUCUUUAUAAUUAUUUCAUUGAUUAAUGUAUACUUGAUCCAUUUUUAGUGAUUAAAAGAUUAAGUUACUUUAGGGAUAACAGCGUAAUUUAUUCGGAGAGUUCACAUCGAUGAAUAAGCUUGCGACCUCGAUGUUGGAUUAAAAUAAGUUCUGAUUGUAGCAGAUUAUGGACUAGGUCUGUUCGACCUUUUAAUUUUUACAUGAUCUGAG
rnacentral:rRNA from 1 species